rnacentral:piRNA from 1 species
UGUGAAUGCAGUGUACCAGGAUGGAGACA